AUUGAACGCUGGCGGAAUGCUUUACACAUGCAAGUCGAACGGCAGCACGGACUUCGGUCUGGUGGCGAGUGGCGAACGGGUGAGUAAUACAUCGGAACGUGCCCAGUCGUGGGGGACAACGUAGCGAAAGCUACGCUAAUACCGCAUACGAUCUACGGAUGAAAGCGGGGGAUCGCAAGACCUCGCGCGAUUGGAGCGGCCGAUGGCAGAUUAGGUAGUCGGUGGGGUAAAGGCUCACCAAGCCGACGAUCUGUAGCUGGUCUGAGAGGACGACCAGCCACACUGGGACUGAGACACGGCCCAGACUCCUACGGGAGGCAGCAGUGGGGAAUUUUGGACAAUGGGCGCAAGCCUGAUCCAGCCAUUCCGCGUGCAGGAUGAAGGCCCUCGGGUUGUAAACUGCUUUUGUACGGAACGAAAAGGCCCUGGUUAAUACCUGGGGCUCAUGACGGUACCGUAAGAAUAAGCACCGGCUAACUACGUGCCAGCAGCCGCCGUAA
rnacentral:rRNA from 1 species